rnacentral:rRNA from 1 species
UGUGCCAGCCGCCGCGGUAAUACGUAGGUGGCAAGCGUUAUCCGGAAUUAUUGGGCGUAAAGCGCGCGCAGGCGGUUUCUUAAGUCUGAUGUGAAAGCCCACGGCUCAACCGUGGAGGGUCAUUGGAAACUGGGGAACUUGAGUGCAGAAGAGAAAAGCGGAAUUCCACGUGUAGCGGUGAAAUGCGUAGAGAUGUGGAGGAACACCAGUGGCGAAGGCGGCUUUUUGGUCUGUAACUGACGCUGAGGCGCGAAAGCGUGGGGAGCAAACAGGAUUAGAAACCCCUGUAGUCCA